GAAUGGGUGGCCGAGCGGUCUAUGGUAAGGAUAUCCGUAGCUUGUUGAGAUCAUUUCUAACGUGAGUGCAGGCGUGUGACAGCAGUAAAUGCUAUUGCGUGGGGAAACCCGCCCGGGUUCAAAUCCCGGCCCAUCCA